rnacentral:rRNA from 1 species
UACGGAGGGGGCGAGCGUUGUCCGAAGUUACUGGGCGCAAAGCGCGCGUAGGCGGGUUGGUAAGUCCGCUGUGAAAGCCCGGAGCUCAACUCCGGAGGGUCGGUGGAUACUGCCAGUCUUGAAGGUGCUAGGGGGAGAUGGAAUUACCGGUGUAGCGGUGAAAUGCGUAGAGAUCGGUAGGAACACCAGUGGCGAAGGCGGUCUCCUGGGGCAUUCUUGACGCUGAUGCGCGAAAGCUGGGGGAGCGAACGGG